rnacentral:tRNA from 1 species
UCCGGAAUGGUGUAGUGGCUAGCAUUUCUGCCUCUCAUUAGCUGUUGGAAUAAAACAGUUGAAGUGUUCGCAGGAGACCGGGGUUCAAUUCCCCGUUCCGGAA